UUGUGUGAUCUCAGAGCCAGCUCUGGUGCAAGUCCUGCUGACAGCCUGCUUGUCCUUGUCAUUGCUCCAGGAGCUGAGGGCACAGUUCCCCUCUCAGUAAUCCAGAUAGAAGUCAAACAAAUGUGUGUUUUUGCCAGCUGAAUGCUCCUAGAAAUAUUCACCCGCUUUUUGGGUAGGGUUUUUUAACCUUUGUAUUUCUUCCCUCAAUGUGGAAUGCCAAUAGAUCCCAGCAAUAUUUGCUAUCCAGUUUCUCUGAGAUGGGCCCCAAAAAAGGUGGACAAUGGCAAGUGUAAUUUCCAGGAAAAUUCUCACAGAUCCCACCAUUUUGGCAAGGGUUCAUGUAACAUUCGUUGACGUCUUCAUCACAAACUUAGAAGUUUCCACAUGAGGACAAGACAGAAGGAAAAGAAGCUGGAGGUCUGGACAUCCCUGACAGGAGGCGAAGGGAAAGCAGCGGCACGGGAAGAG